GAUCAUGGCUCAGGAUGAACGCUGGCGGCGUGCCUAACACAUGCAAGUCGAACGGACUUUUCAUGAAGCCUAGCGAUUGAAAAGUUAGUGGUGGACGGGUGAGUAACGCGUGGGUAACCUGCCUUGUACUGGGGGACAACAGUUGGAAACGACUGCUAAUACCGCAUAAGCGCACAGCUUCGCAUGAAGCAGUGUGAAAAACUCCGGUGGUACAAGAUGGACCCGCGUCUGAUUAG
rnacentral:rRNA from 1 species